CUGAAGGGCCUGGGAGGGGUUGGGCAUGGGUCUAGCUGUGGCUGCCCCACUCUUGGAGUGGGUAGGAAUCCCAGAGCCUGGAAACAGGCCUCUUCCCCAACCUCAUCAGCCUGAGACGGGCGAGGGGCAGAGGGAAAGUGCAGACUUGGGAAAGCGGACUGAGAUUAUCCCUGAGCUCUGGAAAAUGAAGUCAUCCAGUUGGGGGAAGUCCCGAGGAAUGCUGGCCGGGUCACUUGGAACGGAGCCCAUCAUUGGUCUGAAACUCCUUUUGCACACCUAGGAGUCCAGAUGCUUCCCUGAGCCAUCUUUAAAUUCCAGGUGGAAAGAGAGAAGACAGCUGCUCCCGCUUCACCUCGUUUCCAUCCGGCAACAUGAAUCAGAACUUCAUUCCUGGGGCGCCUGGGUGGCUCAGCUGGUUAAGCCUCUGCCUUCGGCUCAGGUCAUAAGCCCGGGGUCCUGGGAUCGAGCCCCGCAUCGGGCUCCCU